rnacentral:rRNA from 1 species
UACGAAGGGUGCAAGCGUUACUCGGAAUUACUGGGCGUAAAGCGUGCGUAGGUGGUUUGUUAAGUCUGAUGUGAAAGCCCUGGGCUCAACCUGGGAAUUGCACUGGAUACUGGCAGGCUAGAGUGCGGUAGAGGAUGGCGGAAUUCCCGGUGUAGCAGUGAAAUGCGUAGAGAUCGGGAGGAACACCGGUGGCGAAGGCGGCUUACUGGGUCUUAACUGACGCUGAGGCACGAAAGCCAGGGUAGCAAACGGG